GACGAACGCUGGCGGCGUGCCUAAUACAUGCAAGUAGAACGCUGAAGAGAGGAGCUUGCUCUUCUUGGAUGAGUUGCGAACGGGUGAGUAACGCGUAGGUAACCUGCCUUGUAGCGGGGGAUAACUAUUGGAAACGAUAGCUAAUACCGCAUAACAAUGGAUGACACAUGUCAUUUAUUUGAAAGGGGCAAUUGCUCCACUACAAGAUGGACCUGCGUUGUAUUAGCUAGUAGGUGAGGUAAUGGCUCACCUAGGCGACGAUACAUAGCCGACCUGAGAGGGUGGUCGGCCAACCUGGGACUGAGACACGGCCCAGACUCCUACGGGAGGCAGCAGUAGGGAAACUUCGGCAAUGGGGGCAACCCUGACCGAGCAACGCCGCGUGAGUGAAGAAGGUUUUCGGAUCGUAAAGCUCUGUUGUAAGUCAAGAACGGGUGUGAGAGUGGAAAGUUCACACUGUGACGGUAGCUUACCAGAAAGGGACGGCUAACUACGUG
rnacentral:rRNA from 1 species